rnacentral:lncRNA from 1 species
AUGAGAACUGUCAGAAUUAAUCGGUCUACCAAUAGAUGUUGCCAAGUUUCAACUUCAUGGCUUGUUAAGUAAAGGUGGCUAUGGCACAGUCCGAGAGGGUACUUUUGAUACGAAACCUUAAUUCGCACACUUGAUCCAACGUUGCCAAGUCACUAAAAUCUCAAUAUUUGACACCAAUUUGACAAUUGACAGAUUAUCUUUUAAAUAUAAAUUUAAAUAGUUAUGAAGUUAUGAACAAAACUGAACAAAACAAAGUCGAGAACAAUGGAUUGAUUAAUGGAUAUGUAAAAGCCAUAAGGAGAACAGAACUAAAAUUAAAAUAUGAAAUAAACAUUGUAUAAAAGUGGAAAGCCAGCCACUUUAAAAAGAUAUUCCAAACUAAAACAUGGGUUACCAAAGCAGGCAAUAAAAAGAAAAGGUGAUUUAGAAUGCAAGAGAAGAGCUGAUGAAAGAAGUAAAUGUAAAGAAAAUAAUGAAGAGACUUCUCUCGACUAUGAACAAACACCAGCUAUUUUAUAUAUGUAGAAAAAGGAAAAACUGCUGGAACUUUACUUUAAAGGCUUUUGACUAGUGAAGAUUUGGAUAAACAACAGGAGUUACUUUGGGCUAUAGCUACGUGCAAAUUUAUUUUCUUGUGGCUUCCUAUAUUUAUUCUUAUUAACUAUAUCUACACUUUGAUAUGUUUUUAGUCGCAUGAAGAUUUUAUAGUUUAUUAUUUUAUGUAUAUUGUUAUAUUUGUGUUGAAUAAACAUUAUUAUUAUUA